rnacentral:rRNA from 1 species
CCUACGGGUGGCAGCAGUCGAGAAUCAUUCACAAUGGGGGAAACCCUGAUGGUGCGACGCCGCGUGGGGGAAUGAAGGUCCUCGGAUUGUAAACCCCUGUCAUGUGGGAGCAAAUUAAAAAGAUCGUACCACAAGAGGAAGAGACGGCUAACUCUGUGCCAGCAGCCGCGGUAAUACUGAGGUCUCAAGCGUUGUUCGGAAUCACUGGGCGUAAAGCGUGCGUAGGCUGUUUCGUAAGUCUGGUGUGAAAGUCGCGGGCUCAACCCGCGGACGGCACCUGAUACUGCGAGACUAGAGUGAUGGAGGGGGAACGGGAAUUCUCGGUGUAGCAGUGAAAUGCGUAGAUAUCGAGAGGAACACUCGUGGCGAAGGCGGGUUCCUGGACAUUAACUGACGCUGAGGCACGAAGGCCAGGGGAGCGAAAGGGAUUAGAUACCCCAGUAGUC